UGGGGAAUAUUGCACAAUGGGCGCAAGCCUGAUGCAGCCAUGCCGCGUGUGUGAAGAAGGCCUUCGGGUUGUAAAGCACUUUCAGCGAGGAGGAAGGUGGUGAACUUAAUACGUUCAUCAAUUGACGUUACUCGCAGAAGAAGCACCGGCUAACUCCGUGCCAGCAGCCGCGGUAAUACGGAGGGUGCAAGCGUUAAUCGGAAUUACUGGGCGUAAAGCGCACGCAGGCGGUUUGUUAAGUCAGAUGUGAAAUCCCCGGGCUCAACCUGGGAACUGCAUUUGAAACUGGCAAGCUAGAGUCUCGUAGAGGGGGGUAGAAUUCCAGGUGUAGCGGUGAAAUGCGUAGAGAUCUGGAGGAAUACCGGUGGCGAAGGCGGCCCCCUGGACGAAGACUGACGCUCAGGUGCGAAAGCGUGGGGAGCAAACAGAUUAGAUACCCUGGUAGUCCACGCUGUAAACGAUGUCGAUUUUGGAGG
rnacentral:rRNA from 1 species